rnacentral:rRNA from 1 species
CAGUCGCCGCGGGAAUACGAAGGGGGCUAGCGUUGUUCGGAAUUACUGGGCGUAAAGCGCACGUAGGCGGAUACUUAAGUCAGGGGUGAAAUCCCGGGGCUCAACCCCGGAACUGCCUUUGAUACUGGGUAUCUCGAGUCCGGAAGAGGUGAGUGGAAUUCCGAUUGUAGAGGUGAAAUUCGUAGAUAUUCGGAGGAACACCAGUGGCGAAGGCGGCUCACUGGUCCGGUACUGACGCUGAGGUGCGAAAGCGUGGGGAGCAAACAGGAUUAGAUACCCGAGUAGUCCCUGUCUCUUAUAC